CUUACCACUCCAAAGUGGGAAAAUCUGCACCUUUUAAAAUUCCAGUAUGAGUGGUGGGCAGAAAGUAGUUGGCAAGCAUGAUGAGAGGAUAAUGCAAAUCAGAGGGAAUCUGUUUUGUGCUUUUGGUGGUUUGGAAUGGCAGUCUGGUUUAAAAGGUUUCUUGGCAGUGGAGAGGACUCAUUGCAAUGAUUGCAGAAAGAGAGUGAUAUCCACCUUGCGAUGGAGCCUGUGUAGGUCUGGGUGCAGGAGCUGACCUGGUCAUUGGGUGAAGAGAGACCUUGUAUGGAGAGAUCCUGGAUGUGCGCCCCCUAGCCGGUUUCUGAGGCAACCAUGGUGAGGAUGUAAUGGGGCACCCAUUGGAAGGAUGGAAUGGGACACCCACGGAGAGCCUGAAGGCAUCUGCCCACCAAAGGAGUGACUGGCGAACUAUGGCAGGUUCUGUGAGCCAUCAAGAUUGAGGGUCUAUGUGAAGGAUGGAAGCUGUGCAGGAACCAACUUUGAAGGACCCUGGAUCGAAGGUGGGCAUGUUAGAGAACAUGUUUCUAGAAGCCAUCUAGCCAAGAAGCUGUUGAAGGACUCAGGCUCUGUGGCAACUAGCAGAGUACCUAGGUUGUU